CGUUAGUUUUCAUCUGUCAUGUGAUAGCAGAGCUGCCUGUUAAUGUGACUGUGUCCGUGCAACUAACACAAGAAUGUGCAAAGUGUGUAGCAGUACGCCUCCGGGCAGAAGAACUCGAUCCAGUGGUGUAGAACUGCAGAGCUUUCUGUCACACAUGGACUUGGAUUUGUUUUGCUUCUUUCAUGCAAAGGAGGAUUGGCAUGAGCCAGACGUGAAUGUUUACGGGGGGUGCUGGAGCCUAUCUCAGCUGCACAUGGGUGGAAGGCGUCGUACACCCUGGACAAGUCGCCACCUUAUUGCAGGGCCAACACAAAUAGACAAACAACAUUCACACUCCCAUUCACACACAAGGGCCAAUUUAGUGUUGCCAAUCAAACUAUCCCCAAGUGCAGGUAUUUGGAGGUGGGAGGAAGCCGGAGUUCCCGGAGGGGGCCCACGCAGUCACGGGGAGAACAUGCAAACUCCACACAGAGAGAUCCAGAGCCCGGGAUUGAACUGAGGACCUUCGUAUUGUGAGGCACAUGCACUAACCCCUUUUCCAACAUGCUGGCUGCUUUGAUAAUAUAUAUUUUUUUAAUGUAAAACAUAUUUACUAGAGCAAAGAUUUUUAUUAGUUAAAAUUAUACAUAUUAAAUUAUACCUCGGAUAAGCGGAAGAUGAUGGAUGGAAUUAUAAUAUUAUAUUAACUUAAAAUAGUGCAACAAGUAUUAUAGUAUGAUAAAUUCCAAACAUUUUAUCCUGUUUUGUCAAAGCCAGUUUUACAUCAAGUUGCACACUGUAAAAAUUACAAUAAAAUUAAUGUUAACAAAAACCUGUCACCUAAGUCACCAUAAUUUUACAAUUAAAAAAAGGGAAUCGUUUAUUUAUUUUUUUUAUUUACAAUACUAGACUGUAAAAAUAACAACCAAGGAGUUUACGGUGAAAAAAAGUGGCAGCUCAGUUGCCAGAAUUUUAAAUAACAGCAGUCUUACUGUUUUUCCUUUUACUGUAAAACGCCAUAAAAAAAAAAUAACACUACAUUUUUUUUUAAAAACGAAUGAGUUGCCAGUUUUUAACCGCAAUAUCUAUAGAUUUGUUUUUUUACAAUGUAUGUAAAAAAUGUACACAAUAAACACAAGUAACAAUGCCAUGAAUGCUUAUACAUUUAUAAUUAUAUGAUAUUCAUUGUUAUAAGCCGGCAGCUAUCGCUGUGAUAUGGCCCUCAAUGAAAACCCCUUACACCUGUGUUAAUGAAUGACGAUACAUGAUGGUAUUAACAAAAAAAAGGGAAUGAUUCUUGCAUUUAUGUUUUUGGAGGCAUUCAAGGGUAGUGUGAACAUAUAAAAAAAUGUUUUUAACAUUCUUACCUGGUGUGCUGACGAUGGUUUUGGUUGAACUGUUUGGCUCCUGACCUUUUUCACCGCAUCAGUCAUGUUGUCAACACGAUUCUUUUGCUGAGAAAUGGACCUCAGCCUUUGGGUAGAACAGACAGCAAGUAAAGAGUGAGUCAUAUUGAUACUGGCUGUAACAAGGAAUCAGAUUUUGCAAUAUAUAAGUACAUUGAUAAAUAAAUAUUAAUAGUUGGGUCUUCUUGAGGUACCUGUGAAGGUCUUUGUUUAUUGCUUGGAUAGUCAGGGUGACAUCUGCUGAAAGCACCUCUUGUGUGCUGGACUCUGCAGCCUUCUGCAGGUCUGAAGCUUUUGAGGACAAUAUUUUCAAGCUUGCAUCACAGUCCUAAGAAAAGAUAUAUUCCUAUGUUAUUGGCAGGAAACAACUCCUGAUUCACACCAACAUAUGAUCUCAUUUCUGAAUAUUGAACAUUGUUUUUAGAAUUUUAGGUAAUAAGCAUAAACUUUAGUAUACCUGUGACCCUAAGGAGGAUAGAAAAUGGAUGGAUGGAUGAAUAGAUAAUGAGCGUAUCACAUAAAAACGGAUUUUAUUGAAGAAGUCACACCCAGUCACUCAUUUCCGUCCCCUAGCAAGUCAAGCGAUUUAGACCAUUGCCCUGACAGGCAAUGUGUACAGGCUAUCAAUAUAGUAACUUUUCAUUUGACUUACAGUACAUGCUGGAAUUUAUUUUGUAGUAGGUGAGCAUGCCAGGUUUUUUACUUGAUUGAUUUUUUUGUUAAUUUUUUUUCCAGGGUUGUCAAAAUGUUAACUCAUGCGAUUAAUCAUACAAAAAUAAUCACAUUAAAUGCAGAAUGAUCGUGCAAUUUAUUUUGCCCGCACAUGCUGUGUUAAGUUUACUUAACUGUGGGUGGUUACCUGGAAUACAUUCAUCAGCGCAAUUCACCAUUGGCCAAUUUCACUUUAAAAUAAACUCAGCAGGUCUUUAGAUAAUAUUGUUAUAAAAUUUUGAACAAAUACAUGACA